AGCAGUCGCCACGGUAAUACGGAGGGUGCAAGCGUUAAUCGGAAUUACUGGGCGUAAAGCGCACGCAGGCGGUCUGACAAGUCAGAUGUGAAAUCCCCGGGCUUAACCUGGGAACUGCAUUUGAAACUGUCAGGCUGGAGUCUUGUAGAGGGGGGUGGAAUCCCAGGUGUAGCGGUGAAAUGCGUAGAGAUCUGGAGGAAUACCGGUGGCGAAGGCGGCCCCCUGGACAAAGACUGACGCUCAGGUGCGAAAGCGUGGGGAGCAAACAGGAUUAGAUACCCCUGUAGUCCCUGUCUCUUAUAC
rnacentral:rRNA from 1 species